GAUAAAAUAUUGUCCAGAAAUGGUCAAGAAAGUCGGCCAAAGAGCAGCUCCUUUAUAUGGAUUGAAAUCAACAAAUUUUGCCCAUUUUUAACUUAGACAAAAAAAAUUCCAGCUUUCUAGGUUUUUCUCUCUUGUUCUAUCUUAGCUAUGAAGCAACCCUAUAAUUUCAUAAGGGUUAUUGGGAUUUACCUUCCUUCCAAGACAAAGGGAUUAAGAUAUUAAAGAUAUACAUAUUAAGAGGCUAAACUACCAAGGAAAUCAAGGCACAGGUACAUCAGCUCAUCACCUCACUAGUAGGAGCGCAGGCUAUUCAGUGACUAUUGGUGAGCUCCAGGUUGAUUCGGGUCUUUUCGAGUCUGUUCCAUAUAUUUUGGUAUCGUGCAGUAAGUCAAGAGUAGGGCGGGAUUUUGUCCCGACCCUAACUAAGUCUAUGUAUCUUUUACAGGCUUUGUAGACUAAUGAAAGUUAUGGUAAUGUCUUACCUUUAGACGUGGUGGCUCCAACAGCCAAGUGUUUUAUAUAUAAGUUUGUGCUUAGCUAUGUAAUUAUUCUCAUCGAUACAUAAUAUCAUAUUUUUCUA